rnacentral:rRNA from 1 species
UACGGAGGGUGCAACCGUUGCUCGGAAUCAUUGGGCGUAAAGCGCACGUAGGCGGCCUGUUAAGUCGGAUGUGAAAUCCCUCGGCUCAACCGAGGAAGUGCAUUCGAAACUGGCGGGCUUGAAUAUGGAAGAGGGUCGCGGAAUUCCCGGUGUAGAGGUGAAAUUCGUAGAUAUCGGGAGGAACACCAGUGGCGAAGGCGGCGACCUGGGCCAAUAUUGACGCUGAGGUGCGAAAGCGUGGGGAGCAAACAGG